rnacentral:rRNA from 1 species
GACGAACGCUGGCGGCGUGCCUAAUACAUGCAAGUAGAACGCACAGUUUAUACCGUAGCUUGCUCCACCAUAGACUGUGAGUUGCGAACGGGUGAGUAACGCGUAGGUAACCUGCCUGGUAGCGGGGGAUAACUAUUGGAAACGAUAGCUAAUACCGCAUAAUAUUAAUUAUUGCAUGAUAAUUAAUUGAAAGGUGCAAUUGCACCACUACCAGAUGGACCUGCGUUGUAUUAGCUAGUAGGUGAGGUAACGGCUCACCUAGGCGACGAUACAUAGCCGACCUGAGAGGGUGGUCGGCCACACUGGGACUGGGACACGGCCCAGACUCCUACGGGAGGCAGCAGUAGGGAAUCUUCGGCAAUGGACGAAAGUCUGACCGAGCAACGCCGCGUGAGUGAAGAAGGUUUUCGGAUCGUAAAGCUCUGUUGUAAGGGAAGAACGGGUGUGAGAGUGGAAAGUUCACACUGUGACGGUAUCUUACCAGAAAGGGACGGCUAACUACGUG